rnacentral:lncRNA from 1 species
AAACAUAAUCGCAUAUCAUACGAGUAUAAGAAAGGCCUUACACUUUCGAACUAUCAUACAUAUUCUAACUCACGCCAUACAAUCACAGUAUUAAAUACAUAGGAAUUUACCUAGUAUGCUACUUACAGCAAACACGUCAGAACCAGUCGAGUAAUGUCACAUAACAAUUACCAAGUAAAUGUGCAUAUACCUUAAUGCAAUCUAAUGCCAAUUAAUUAACUGUCAUGCCAUCCCUAGACAUGACUAAAUGCAUGUGGUACCAAGGCGUCUCACCAACGGUGGACCAAGAACAGUUUUAUAUCUUGCUGGAUAUGUCGGAACUUACCGAACCAUCUUAUCUCCCUUGGAUAAGCCAACACAGUUUUAUAUCCUGUUGGAUAGCAGCUCUGGACUCAUGGAUUCAUCUAAUCCGAUCCUCGGCUUCAUUAUGGACACAUAAUUCAUUUUCGUUAUUGGAACCCAAGUUUCCAAUGUUCACAUACAAUCAUGAAU